rnacentral:rRNA from 1 species
UACAGAGGGUGCAAGCGUUAAUCGGAAUUACUGGGCGUAAAGCGCGCGCAGGCGGUUUUUUCAAGUCAGUGGUGAAAGCCCGGAGCUCAACUCCGGAACUGCCAUUGAAACUGUAAAACUUGAGGACGAGAGAGGUGAGUGGAAUUCCCAGUGUAGAGGUGAAAUUCGUAGAUAUUGGGAAGAACACCGGUGGCGAAGGCGGCUCUCUGGACCGAUACUGACGCUGAGGCGCGAAAGCGUGGGGAGCAAACAGG